rnacentral:lncRNA from 1 species
UGCACGAUGCACACUAGUGUAGAAAUACCUGCUUGGGUGUUAUGAUAGUGUUUCACGCCUUUGCACAUGGAUCACAUGAGCACAAGGUUUUGCAUCCGCACUGGUUUAGUCUAGAUUAGCCUAGAUAGAUUAGAAACACGUUGAUUAAGUUAACGUUAAAUACCUCACACGUUGCUUUUGCACUGCACUGUCACCACGCAAUGUAUUCCGAGGGCAAUCUCUGGGCAUCACCGUGGAAGGAAGGACACCGUGGAUCGUCGCCGAAGAUCGUCACCACCAGAAAAAAGGGUAUCCGUGAUAAAUUUAGUGUAUUAACUGUGGGGUUUUUUUGUCUUUUAUGUAAUUAGAUUGGCCAGACCACCGAAAAGGCCCAACGGGGACCGUAUAGGGAGCUACUAGAUCAUCGCCAUAAAAGGCACCCGAAGAGGCACAACGGGGAUCGCCGUGGGAGGUGGAAGAUUACCGUGGGAGGUGGAAGAUCGUCGCUAUGAGCGGUAUUAUUGAUAAGUUAAGUGUACUAACUGUGUUUUUUAUUAUGUAUUUAGCUUGGCCAAGUCACCGAAGAGGCCCAACGGGAAUCGCUGAGGGAACUAAAAUAUCGUCGCCAUAAAAGGCAUCGAAGAGACACAACGGGGAUCGUCGUGGUAGCUACAAGAUCGCCGAGGGAGGUGCAAGAUCAUCGAGGGAGUUAGGAGAUCGCCGAGGAAGGGCAGACUCGCCGUGGGAGGCACUGAAGAGGCACAACGGGGAUCGCCGUGGGAGCUGCAAGAUCGACCCGGGAGCUACAAGAUCGCUGCUGGCGGCACCCGAGAUCUUCGCUCCUUAGGAUGAAGAAUCAUUGAAGAUGGUACGGUUUAGUAUGGCCUAAUUGGCAUUUUCUUACUUCAUUACAGUCGUUGAGAUUCGUGUCGCAUGUGUCCGUAAUUCCUUUUUCUUUUACACCUUUAUACAUUAUGGCUAACGGUCAACUCACUUUGCAUUCACAUUGCACUGAUCGGUCACGUUCAUUGCACGUUUACCUUGGGUUUCGUUCUCUAGGUCAUUUACGUUUUAGUUCUGGCUUUUAUACACCUGGAUUUUAUUUAGAACAUGUAAUAGAAAGCAAAUUUUAAUGACUUAGAAAAAUGCACACACGUUGGAUCCAAGUUUGUAAUCAAUCUUCGGUACAUUUAUCGCCUUCAAUUAGACUAAUUAUCGUGAUAGUCACAAUCCCGAUCGAUUAUUUGCCUUAGGCCAAUAAUAAUAAUUCCAGUUAUAACUGGAAUCACGCCAACUUAUCAAAAUUAAAAAAAUAAAAAAAAAAAUACAAAAGUCGAUUUUUAGUUUGAUUUUUUUUUUUUCACGUUGACCCAAACUACAAACAAAAAUAGAUUUGGGGAGGGGAAGUUUAUUGUGAAAUCAUCCUCUCAGUAAUUUUGUAAAUGUUUUUGGGGGAGUUUCUCUCUAUCACCUAAAGAGAUACACCUUGUUAUUUUUUCCCCUCCUUCCCUCUCACAAUAGAUGACAUUUUGCUACUUCACUCAACAUUUGCAUUUCAACGAAAUACGAAAAUUAAAGGGGAGCAGUAGAGGGAAAGGAAGGAGAGUUCAUUAGCGACGAAACGAACUAACACGGACUCGAAGACGUCACAAGAACGCAAAAGAAAAAUAAAUCAAUCAAGACGAGAACACGUGCGGGAAAGACGGUGACAGGCGGGCUUUUUCUUCCUUUUUUUUUUGAAAAACUCGUUAAAAAAAUUUCAACAAUAAAAAAAAAAGAUGGCAGCAAAUUUUUCAAAUUUUUGUAAAGAGAUUAAUUUUGAAUUGAAAUUGAAAGCACCGCGAGAUGUACGCCAUUCCGGCGCUCCAGAAAAAACUGGGGAGACCAACUGACAGAAA